rnacentral:lncRNA from 1 species
CCCGAGGGGCGCGAGGGAGUGAGCCGCGCAGACCCAGGCGCAGCGGGUUCACGCAGGCAGGAGCGUGCGGUCGGAGGGGAGAGUGCUAAUAAACCAGGAGAGCCCCUGCUCCCCAGAACAAGGGGAGUGGAGAGGGCUAGCCUCUCAAACCUGACCUGACAACCUUGGUUUUACUUGAAACAGCAGGGCGAGUCACCGGAAAGCCUCGGAGUGACGAGAGCGGACAGGCGGCUCGGAUCGCCCUGGCUGCUGCGCGCGGAGCAGACACCAGGGGGCGCAAAGGCCGAGCUGCUGUUCCGUGGCUCAGUCGUGUCCGACUCUGACCCCACGGACUGCAGCCGGCCAGCUCCUCUGUCCUCGGGAUUCUCCAGGCAAGAAGACUGGAGUGGGCUGCCAUUUCCUCCUCCAGGAAAGGCUGAGUAGGGAAACCAAGACGAACGCUGUGUCUGUCAACUGUGCUAAAAACUGGCUCCAGGUCAAAGUGAGACGAACGCCGUUUGUGGAUGAGCUGCUACCCCAGGUUCAUGAGCUCUUUCUCGGAGAUGGCUGCCCCGUCACCACAGAGCUGCCUGAUUCCUUUGAGUUCCUUUACAGUCUUACUACUUGUGGCAUCAGGACUUACGAAAGCUCAUGGGGCAUUCUCAUUGAAAGCUCAGUCACAUAUGAAUCUUUGUUUAUAAACAGAGGAGGUGUCAUCCCAGUGCUGUGCUUUGUUAAAAGAAAUGAUCCAUUCACCUUUGGGGAAGAAGACAUAGAAAGUGAUAAUGAAACAACUGGGGAAAACGCCCAAGGGCCAGGCAGACAGAAGAACACAGCACCACCGGAAGCACCAUCCUUGGAGCCCCCUCCAGGAAUACCAAGCAAGUGAGUCGUCUUUUGACUUAGUACUAUCAAUGCUUUCCAAGGCACAAAAAAGCAAAGGUUCAGUAC